AAGCCAACUUGAAGGUGUCAAUUUUACUAACACUGUAGAAAAAAAAAGUCCAUGGAAAGACGCUCAGCAUCACUCAUUAUUAGAGAAAUGCAGAGUAAAACUACAGUCAGGUAUCACCUCACACCACUCACACUGGCCAUCUCCAAAAACAUCUACAGGGAAUCAAGGCUGCAGAGGACGCGUGCAAAAGGGAUUCGUCCUGCACACUUGCUGGGAAUAUCAACUGGUGCAACUACUAUGGAGAAAUGUAUGGAGCUUCCUGUAACAUAACUAAACAGAGAACCAUAUGUGAUCCGUCAAUCCCACUCCUGGCCUUGCAGCCCGAUAUAAUCAUAAUUCGGAACACGUGCCACCUGUAUUUUCAUAGCAGCACGAUUAGGACCAGUGCAGACAUACAUUCCACCCAAAUGUCCAUCAACAGAAAAAUGAACAUUAUGGGCUACAUAACAUACAAAGAAAUACUACUCAGCCGACAAGAAGAAUGAAAACAUACCAUCUGCAGCAGCAAGGAUGGACUAACCUAUGAUCAUACUAGGUGAAUGAGGUCAGAGAGAGAAGGACAAAUAGCACAAGAGAGCCCUUAUAGGUGAAACCUAUCAAUUCAUGCAAAUGAUCUAAUUGAAAAAACAGAAAGAGACUCUCACAGAUAGACAAGUAACUUACGAUGACCAUACAGGAAAGGUGGGUGAGGGAUAUAUUUUGAGGUUGGGAUUGGUGUAUAAGCACUAUUAUGGAUCGUAGAUCAUCCAAAAGGACCUUGUGA